CGGGGUGUGGCGCAGAUGGCUAGCGCGCUUGGUUUGGGACCAAGAGGCCCUGGGUUCAAAUCCCAGCACCCCGACCA
rnacentral:tRNA from 1 species